GACGAACGCUGGCGGCGUGCCUAACACAUGCAAGUCGAGCGGGGUCCAUCCGGUAGCAAUACCGGGGAAGACCUAGCGGCGAACGGGUGAGUAACACGUGAGAAACCUGCCCCGAAGUCUGGGAUAACCCGAGGAAACUCGAGCUAAUACCGGAUGUCUUCUUCUGAUCGCAUGGUCGGAUGAAGAAAGAUUUAUCGCUUCGGGAGGGUCUCGCGGCCUAUCAGCUAGUUGGCGGGGUAACGGCCCACCAAGGCGUCGACGGGUAGCUGGUCUGAGAGGACGAUCAGCCACACUGGGACUGAGACACGGCCCAGACUCCUACGGGAGGCAGCAGUGGGGAAUAUUGCGCAAUGGGCGAAAGCCUGACGCAGCAACGCCGCGUGCGGGAUGAAGGCCUC
rnacentral:rRNA from 1 species